rnacentral:lncRNA from 1 species
AAACCAUAGCUAAAAUCACGUAUACUAUUUUCUCCCUCCCUCCCUCCCACGAUAAAACCAGAGCUCAGAGCUCAUCGGAAGGUCAGAGCGAAGCAGAGGCAAACGGAUCAGAAGGUAAUACCCAUAACUUUAUUGGGUUUGUAAAAAAAAUUUCAGGCAUUUGAAAAUCUAGGGUUUGUUUUUUAAAAAUCCCUCUUUUUCCGGCGGGGUUCGUCGUGGCUGCUGGUUGCACGAAUUUCUUUACUUUCUCGUGGCCUAAUUUCUUUAAUCGUUGCCUAAUUCGUACAAACUCAAAAUCUGUUUUCAUUUUUGUGGUUCCUUAAAAUUCUCCCUUGAAUGAAGUGGUAUAGCCUAUGAUGUGCAGCGUAAGUUUAUACUCAAGGUACAAUCUGCAAAAGUUUCCGUGUGGUUAUUAUAUGUUUAUAACCUAUUUUGAUUCACUAACCAUGAAUGUAUUUAUUAUAUAUCUAUAUUAGAUACACACACGCUUCUGAUUGAAUUAUUCCUUUCAUUAUCAUCAAAAGAAGCAUUGGUACUAUUUAUCUCGUUGGUUUCAUUUGUAUCUUCCUUCAAUAAUGUUUCCUCUAAUUCUGGGUUGAUGUAGGGUGAUUUAUUAUUUACUCUUUAGACAUGGACCUGAUUGAAUUAUUCCUUUCAUAUUAUUAACUUAUUGACUGCAAAAUCAAUUAGAAUUGUUUUGUCGUGCAAUUUGAAAAUUCCAGAAUCUGUGCUUCAUGUAUCUAAAUUCUGAGAUCUAAUUGUUGUUGUUCGUGCUUAAAUGUUGUUUGUUUUUUUACCGUAGGGAUGGAUGCUAAUUUAGAGGAUGAAGCACGGGGUAGUGACGAAUGUGGUGAUAAUGUUGACAAUAGUGAAAUGGAAGUAGAGAAUAAGAGAAUUGAAGGGAGAGAACUCGCCGGAUUUGGUACGAAAUCGGAUAACCUUUCUAACGCGAACUGAGAAAUCAAUGGAGAGCCAGUGAGAGAGAGAGGAGAGUUAGAGAGAGUCUGAGGUGGGAAAAGGGUUUUUUUAUGUCUAUUAUAGAUAACCCAUAUUUCACUACCCGCUCCAGCCAUAUCAGUCAUCCGCGUGUUUUUUUUAAAGUUCGCUGCUGGUUCGUUUUUCUGAGUUCGCUUUAGAAAGAUUUCCUAUAUAUAUAUAUAUAUAUAUAUAUAUAUAUAUAUAGAAAUGAUUUAUAGUAUGUAUUUGCUAUGAAUGAAAAAUAGGCAAAUAAUAUCAUAACUAUACAUUACAUAAAUUAAGGGUUGAGAUUAAAAAGGAAAACACGCCAUCCACUAGCGGACGCAUAAAAUAGAAAUUUCGGACCACAAUCUUCGGAUUUCGAAAUUUCUUACUUGCUGUGCGA